GAAGAUGUCAAGACGGUUGCUAACAUCUUCCCAAGGACAAAAGACUUAGUCCUAACCUUACCGUUAAUU
rnacentral:tRNA from 1 species